GACGAACGCUGGCGGCGUGCUUAACACAUGCAAGUCGAACGGUGAACCAGAGCUUGCUCUGGGGAUCAGUGGCGAACGGGUGAGUAACACGUGGGGCAACCUGCCCCAGACUCUGGGAUAACCCCGGGAAACCGGAGCUAAUAUCGGAUAUGACCACUUCGGACAUCCGAUGGUGGUGGAAAGUUUUUCGGUCUGGGAUGGGCCCGCGGCCUAUCAGCUAGUUGGUGGGGUAAUGGCCUACCAAGGCGACGACGGGUAGCCGGCCUGAGAGGGCGACCGGCCACACUGGAACUGAGACACGGUCCAGACUCCUACGGGAGGCAGCAGUGGGGAAUACUGCACAAUGGGCGAAAGCCUGAUGCAGCGACGCCGCGUGAGGGACGACGGCCUCGGUUGUAACGUAC
rnacentral:rRNA from 1 species